AAUUGCGACCCCAGGUCAGGCGG
rnacentral:rRNA from 1 species